GGAGGGUGAAGGAGGCAACGCUGUAUACAGGAGCAGCAUACGGUAAUCCGUUCGGGUCGUAAGUUCUGUUGUAAGGGAAGAACAAGUGCCGCAAGCUAUGGGGCCCUGACGGUACCUUGCGAGAAAGCCACGGCUAACUACGUGCCAGCAGCCGCGGUAAUAAGGGAGCCAGCAGCCGCG
rnacentral:rRNA from 1 species